UACAGAGGGUGCAAGCGUUAAUCGGAAUUACUGGGCGUAAAGCGCGCGUAGGCGGCUUGACAAGUCGAGUGUGAAAUCUCCAGGCCCAACCUGGAGACUGCAUUAGAAACUGUGAGGCUGGAGGCUUGGAGGGGGAACUGGAAUGCUCGGUGUAGCAGUGAAAUGCGUAGAGAUCGAGCGAAACACCAGUGGCGAAGGCGAGUUCCUGGACAAGUCCUGACACUGAGGCACGAAAGCCAGGGGAGCAAACAGG
rnacentral:rRNA from 1 species